GACGAACGCUGGCGGCGUGCUUAACACAUGCAAGUCGAACGGAAAGGCCUGCUUUCCCUUGUGGAUUGCGGGUACUCGAGUGGCGAACGGGUGAGUAACACGUGAGUGAUCUGCCCCCAACUUGGGUAUAAGCCUGGGAAACUGGGUCUAAUUCCCGAUAGGACUGCAGGGUGGUGCCUGUGGUGGAAAACGAUUUUAUAGUGGAUGGGGAUGAGCUCGCGGCCUAUCAGCUUGUUGGUGGGGGAAUGGCCUACCAAGGCGGCGACGGGUAGCCGGCCUGAGAGGGUGGACGGCCACAUUGGGACUGAGAUACGGCCCAGACUCCGACGGGAGGCAGCAGUGGGGAAUAUUGCACAAUGGGCGGAAGCCUGAGGCAGCGACGCCGCGUGGGGGAUGACGGCCUUCGGGUUGUAAACUCCUUUCGACCGCGAGGAAGCCACCUGGUUGGAAGGGUGGUGACGGUAGUGGUAGAAGAAGCACCGGCUAACUACGUG
rnacentral:rRNA from 1 species